UGCUUCUACAAUCUCUUCUUUAGCCUGCC
rnacentral:piRNA from 1 species